UCUAUAUAUUACAUCUACGGUCCUUGGAGAUUGGAGCUCGUCAUACUGCCACAGGAGAUCACUAAUGAGAAUGGAAGGUCUGCAAAUUGAUUUCCCAAUAAUGUUAGAAGACAAUGAACCAACAAUGACAAGCUGUAUCAUUUAAAAGUUCAGAACUUCACGCACUUCGUGUCACUACAGAAGGGGAAUAGGCAAAGUGCAAGAAGGUUGUAUUUGAUUCAUCGUACUUACCAAUAAGAUGAGAUAUAUGGAUGCAGAGGUGUGGAAGUUGCUACCUUGAGAUGGUUUAUAAUAUGUUUGCACGGCUGAAAGUGUCGAGGAAAUAAGAGUAGUUGUGAUUUUGCGUAUGUAACCAGCAGGUAUGGGUCCUCCGGAGAGGCAGAGACCAUCUUGGAAUGGAUAGUCCAAAUGAGGAAAGUGAUUAUAUUGGUCCAUCGGAGGGUUUAUAGCUGCACACCUGCACCUACGAUGUGCCAGAUAGUGCCUAAAUGAUCCUAAAGAAGGCUAAGACUCCAAGAAGUGUAUCGACGAAUCUAUACAAGUAGUUGUCACAAAGACCCCUCUUUCCUUGUAUUCCAACCAACGAAUUAGCUUAGAAUCAGCCUUAGCAAUUCUCACAACGUGAUGUUGUAGGCAAGCUGUUCACCUAAAAAGGUCUAUUGUAUCAACAUUUGCACAAACAACCAAACAUGACCUACAGAUGCUCUGGCAGAACAUAUAUAUGUGCUCAUGGAUUUCAAUUAAGAUGUGUUCAGAACUGCAAUAUGAACAUUCACAUGAGUUUAGGACAGUGCAAUUUCUGUUUACAUACAUUGCCGUAUCUGAGCAACGCUCCAAGACCAAGUGCCGUUCUUCCCCUUCACCAACUGAUUGAUGAGCAAACCUACCAGAACAAGACAGUUUACACUUGUCCAUAGCUCAAAGAACAAAGUACUCUAUGUCUCUAUGAUAUAAAGCGAUCAACAUUCUGAAUGCAAUUACCCAAAAAUAUCAGCAAGACGAUGUAAGAGAAGGCGGUUAUAUGGAUUUGUUGGUUCAAGCUCCAAGAUUCCAUCGGAACAUACCCCUACACUAACGAGUCAAAGGCACCUCCAACCCCCAUACCCUCUUACUAUAGCAGCUCUAACCUAUGGACCUAGCCCUAAGACUGCCGGCCCAGCUAUCCCAAAGCUCUCCUAACUACUGACUACCACCCACCCACAUGCACUAGCCGUCUAACCUAAUUCGCGUCCUCCAUACCUUCCUAUCUAGGGUCAUGUCCUCAGUAAGCUGUAACUGCUCCAUGUCACGUCCAAUCAGCUCUGUCUAGUAUUUCUUCGGCUUACCCCUACCCCGCCUGAAACCAUCCAAAGCUAGCCUCUCACACCUACGAACUGGGGCAUGCCCCUCCUCAUCAUCUGAAACUGCAUGAAUAUUUCUCCGUUUUUAAGACAUUGACGGUGCUUUCUCCCUAUUUCAAAAGUUUUUUUCUUUAUAAGGUAAGAUAUAUUAUUCCAAGAAGGCAUCGAGAGGAUGCAGUAUUUCAAAAAUGUGAUCUGGUUCCUAUUGCUUACCCGUCCUUUCAAGUUCCGAUCUAUGAAAGUAGCAAAACAAGUAAGGAGAUUGUUAUCCACUUCCGGAACACAUAAAAUCUAAGAACACCUCAUAUACAAGGGAAGAAACAAUACCUUCUGAAUCUUCUUUUCUUCUAUAUAUUACAUCUACGGUCCUUGGAGAUUGGAGCUCGUCAUACUGCCACAGGAGAUCACUAAUGAGAAUGGAAGGUCUGCAAAUUGAUUUCCCAAUAAUGUUAGAAGACAAUGAACCAACAAUGACAAGCUGUAUCAUUUAAAAGUUCAGAACUUCACGCACUUCGUGUCACUACAGAAGGGGAAUAGGCAAAGUGCAAGAAGGUUGUAUUUGAUUCAUCGUACUUACCAAUAAGAUGAGAUAUAUGGAUGCAGAGGUGUGGAAGUUGCUACCUUGAGAUGGUUUAUAAUAUGUUUGCACGGCUGAAAGUGUCGAGGAAAUAAGAGUAGUUGUGAUUUUGCGUAUGUAACCAGCAGGUAUGGGUCCUCCGGAGAGGCAGAGACCAUCUUGGAAUGGAUAGUCCAAAUGAGGAAAGUGAUUAUAUUGGUCCAUCGGAGGGUUUAUAGCUGCA
rnacentral:lncRNA from 1 species